AGAAAGAGACAUGUGUUCAACUCCUUGUCAUGUGACACUUCUAAGCAAACUCGUACUGAAUCAAAGAGAAUAAAUAUGGAAGCGUACCUGAAUCCAUAACGAAAGAGAUCUUCACAUUUUGUGGUAAAACUUCCAAACAACACGCGACUGUAAAAUACUAAUUUUCACUGCUGACGGACUAACAAGAAAUAAACAAAAUGUACGUGUAUUUUGGUGACCAUAACCACCUUUUAUAUUGUCGACUUUUGUAAUU
rnacentral:lncRNA from 1 species